UACGAAGGGGGCUAGCGUUGUUCGGAUUUACUGGGCGUAAAGCGCACGUAGGCGGAUCUUUAAGUCAGAGGUGAAAUCCCAAGGCUCAACCUUGGAACUGCCUUUGAUACUGGGGAUCUUGAGUCCGGGAGAGGUGAGUGGAACUGCGAGUGUAGAGGUGAAAUUCGUAGAUAUUCGCAAGAACACCAGUGGCGAAGGCGGCUCACUGGUCCGAUACUGACGCUGAGGCACGAAAGCGUGGGGAGCAAACAGG
rnacentral:rRNA from 1 species